UUUAGCUCCAAGUAGAUCCGGAAAAUGUUGAUUCUCUCCUCUUCUUAUUGUGGUAUAAAAUGUUUUUUGUCUCAUUUCAUUUACAUUGGGAAAUAGAGAAACGAUCAUUGUGUUUUGUUAGUUUUAAAAACUUUUGAUAUAUUUGUAUUUUACAUUAUAAGCAGUCAACCGAUUGACAAACUAGAAUUAUUUGAAUUCCGUGUGGAAAGAGCUCGGGUUAAUUUCGAGUGUUUUCUGCAAUCUAGAUGUUUAUAAAUCAUUUCAGUCGUUGAUAUAAUAAUUAAAGGUCGACUGAACAUGAAUUAUAUUAUACAAUUUAAAGCGCAUUUCUGUUUAUGCACGCGAACCCGUCUAACGUUAUUGUUAUUUCGCAGUUAUAUAAAGUAGCAAAUUAUCGUUCCUGAAUAGGUGGCGCCGUUGUAGCCGAUCCUGUACUUCAACUUCCGGUUUCUGCACUGUGCAACUAUUACAGUUGCAUUUUUAAUUAACGAUGCCAAGUACUUGUUGUUGUGUACCUGGAUGUCAUUUAAGAGGAGGACAUGCAUUUCCAAAUGACUUAAAAAGAAGGAAAAGUUGGAUCAACGCCAUGGCCCAUACGCAGAUUGGACGAGAACACGAUGAAAUCGUGGAGUCCAUCUCAAUCAGCUGUUGUUUGCAAGGCACAUUUUACUGAAAAAGACUACGUGCAGGAAACUAUUCAUGGGCACAAACCCACCAUACAGAGACUUUAAGUCUACUGCCAAUCCCAGCCUAUUUUCCUGGACCAAGCAAGAGACUGAAUCGUCCGCAAAGAGAAAAAUCAGGGCAGUUUCCUGUGAAAACAAAAGAACUAAACUUGAUGAAUAUUGUAGUAGAAAUCUAGAGGAAAGUUUUGAUUGUAAAGUUGGUUUUCCUGAAGAAGUAAUUCAUACUGCAGACAGGAUUUAUGACUGUCCACCACCAACUGCCGAGCUAAUGUUAAGCUUCACAGAUGGAAUUACGCAAACACCAUCAAUGCCUAUAUUUUCAGCAGAGAAUUUUGAAAUGAAGACACGUGACACAGCCAUGCAUUUUUAUACCGGUUUAGAGUUGUAUACUAAAUUUUUAUUUGUUUUGACCACACUUGGUCCAACAGCACAUUGUUUGAGAUACAUAUAUUUUCAAAUUGAUAGGGUGUCAUUUGAAAAUCAGUUUUUUUAUGACUUUGAUGAAAUUGAUGCAUUAUACAACCAACUUUGAACUGUCUAGAUUCUAGAUUGAAACUAGUGUUAAGUAUAUUGUGUAAACAUGGAUUGUUUUUAUGUCUGAACAGUGGCGUGAGGCUAACACUUGGCCAUUUAGUGGUUUAGUCAGGUAUUUUUCGCCAUCCAACUUAGAAUUAAAGUUUCCUACAACUUGGAUUAUUAUUGACAGCACAGAAUAUCCCGUGAUAAAACCUAAAGCUCCUAGAGCUCAGGCAACCUUUUCAUCAUAUAAAAACAGAAACACUGAAAAUACUUGUAUGUUCGACACCUGGUGGUUUAGUCAACUAUGUCUCUAAUGCAUAUGUUGGUUGUACCAGUGACUGUGAAAUAGUUGAAAGAUGUAGAAUAGUUCAAUUAUGUGAUCCAGGUGACAGUGUGAUGGCAGACAAAGGUUUAAAUUUGAAGAUUUGUUUGCUCACUUUUUUCAAAAAAAGAAACAGAAUUAGUUCCAAAACUCUUAUACGGGAUAGAAAAGUCUCCAAUUAACACGUGCACAUAGAGCUAAUUAUUGGACUUGGCAAAACAUACAAAAUUCUAAUAAAUCCUAUGAAUGGAACUGAAACAAAACUUUCAUCUGAAAUAACAUUUAGUUGUUUUAUGUUGUGUAAUUUUAGAACUUGUAUUGUGCCAAAGGAUGCAUAAAUAAAAGUGACGCAAUGAAGUUUGUUCUGAUAUAUAUAUAUAAAUAUUAUUUACAAUUACAUGCACAUGUAAAUUGUAAUGCAUAUAAAAAUAAGGAGAUGUGGUAUGAUAUUCAGUGAGUUUAUCGAACCAAAGUGCAUAAGAAAUUGGUUAAGCAGUUACAGGUGUUACUGUCACCAUACAAUCUCCAACAAUUAGAAAAACUUGUACCGUGUAAAUAAUUUCAGAGAUCUUACAACUAAGUUUUGUUGUCUCACCUUGACUUUGGUGAAUUGUUUAUAUCUGUUGAUGUAAAUAUAAAAAAGAAGAUGUGGUAUGAUUGCCAAUGAGACAACUCUCCACAAGAGACCAAAUGACACAGAAAUUAACAGCUAUAGGUCACAGUACGGCCUUCAACAAUGAGCAAAGCACAUACCGCACAGUGAGCUAUAAAAGGCCCCGAAAUGACAAUGUAAAACAAUUCAAACAAGAAAACUAACGGCCUAAUUUAUGUACAAAAAAUGAACGAAUAACAAAUAUGCAACACAUAAACAAACGACAACCACUGAAUUACAGGCUCCUGACUUGGGACAGGCACAUACAUGUACAUACAGAAUGUGGCGGGGUUAAACAUGUUCGCGGGAUCCCAACCCACCCCCUAACCUGGGACAGUGGUGUAACAGUACAAUAUAAGAGCGAACUAUAAAAAUCAGUUGAAAGAGGCUUAACUCAUCAGAUGGAUAAAUACAAAUACUAGUGGACGUGGCUGGGUAGUUGUACAUCCAAACAACAAAAAGACACUAAGUACAGAUCUGAGAGUACUCGCAUUUACUGACAGCUAGUUCAAAGCCACAAACAACUGAUAAAAAAAUCUUGCAUCUAAGACUAAAUUAUCAAUCCAUAAGCUCCCUUUAGAAUUUUAUAAAUUUUAGAUUUUACAUUAUUGAGUUAUGGGGUUUUAUUCAUUAAAAAGGGGGGGAUUUUCCAGUUUUUGGACAACAACUCAAAAAUGCUUUAAGCAGUUCGCAUGAAACUUUGGUGAAUUAUUUAUAGCUAUUGAUGUAAUCUCCCUAUUGAUUUUCAUAAAUUUCAAAUAUGACAUUGAGAAGAAAUUGAACUUUAUUUGUUUAUAGUCUGGCAACAGAUUUAUUAAGUAUUGCGCAACAGCACAGUGUAUUGCACAACAGCAAGAAAUCUUUAACUGAAUAUAAAUUCAAUUCAUAUAACUGAUUUCAAGUUCUUUGACUACAUUUAUUCAGAAACUAUAAUAUGUCAAAUAUUUAAUUACAAUCCAAAUUCAGACCUGUAUCAAGCUUGAAUAUUGUGUCCAUUUUUGCCUCAACUGUUCAGGGUUGGACCUCUGUGGGUGUAUCCAGCUGCGCUCAGCGAAUCAGUUUAUUACUUAAUUAAGAACUCCUUUUUGUCGAGCCUGUGACUUUUGUCGCAGAAAGCUCGACAUAGGGAUAGUGAUCCGGCGGCAGCGUUAGCUAACUUCUUAAAAGCUUUAUAUUUUAGAAGGUGGAAGGUCUGGAUGCUUCAUACUUUGUUUAUGGAUGCCUCAUGUUACGAAGUUUCCAUCAGUCACAUGUCCAAUGUCCUUGACCUCAUUUUCAUGGUUCAGUGACUACUUGAAAAAAAAGUUAAGAUUUUUUGUAAUGUUGAAUUCUCUCUUAUUAUAAGUAAUAGGAUAACUAUAUUUGGUAUGUGCAUACCUUGCAAGGUCCUUAUGCCCGUCAGACAGUUUUCACUUGACCUCGACCUCAUUUCAUGGAUCAGUGAACAAGGUUAAGUUUUGGUGGUCAAGUCCAUAUCUCAGAUACUAUAAGCAAUAGGUCUAGUAUAUUCGGUGUAUGGAAGGACUGUAAGGUGCACAUGUCCAACUGGCAGGUGUCAUCUGACCUUGACCUCAUUUUCACGGUUCAGUGGUCAAAGUUAAGUUUUUGAGUUUUGUCUUUUUUUCUAAUACUAUAUGCAAUAGUUCAACUAUAUUUGGUGUAUGGAAAUAUUUUAUGAUCUAUAUGUCAGUCACGCAGGUUUUUUUUAUACCUUGACCUCAUUUUCAAGGUUCAUUGCUCAGUUUUAAGUUUUUGUGUUUUGGUCUGUUUUUCUUAAACUAUAAGCAAUAGGUCAACUAUAUUUGUUGUAUGGAAGAAUUUUUAGAUGUACAUGCCUGCCUAGCAUGGUUCAUCUGACCUUGACCUCAUUUUCUUGGUUCAUUGGUCAAUGUUUAGUUUACUUGGUUAAUGUUAAGUUUAUGUGACAGUUGUAAUAAAGCUUUAUAUUUAGGACUAUCAACAUAAUAUCAAUGAUUAGUAAAGAAGGCGAGACAUUUCAGCGUGUGCACUCUUGUUUCAUUCAUAAAUUACUUUAUACUUGGAAAUAUAAUUUUGCUUGGAGUUAUAGUUUCUAAAAAAAGUAUUGUCAUUGAAAGAGUUGACAUGUUGCAAUGUACAUUUAUUCUACAUAGUUCUAUGGUACCAAAUCAAAAGUUUAUAUUAAAGAAAGAAGUCAAAGGUUUCCCAUCAUAGUUUAGUUACAUACAUAUUUUUUGUACCUGAGGUCGUUGAAUAUAGAUCAUUAUAUAAAUAAGGAGAUGUGUUAUGAUUGCCAAUGAAACAACUAUCAUCCAUACAUUGUACUUACCAGUAACAAACCACAUUUGCAAAGUUGAAUAAAAUACAGUUGAUAACAUUUACUUAUUACUUAAAAGAAAAUGCCAAACUAUUUUAAACAGUAUUUGACUAUAAACAUAGAUAAAAAAGGUACUAACUGGACAUAAUGCACUAGUUCAUAAACAAGUGAGAACAAUCGCCUUCAUAUAGUGCUCAGAAUAUGACAUUCAUAAAACUUGUUCAAUAUCAUUAGGGAACUCUAAAUCUUAAAUACUGAAAGCCACCUCUGAUAAGUACAAUGUACUAUGCAAGAUAAUGAUAUAACUGGACUAAAAAUACACACAACCUGUAAUUAACUGCCUUUACAGCGCUUUCGCGCUUUG